rnacentral:lncRNA from 1 species
CAUCUACCGGGUGUUUAGUAAAGGCAACAGUAGUAUACCGCAGUUCGAAAUCUAUAAAUCGAGAAAUAAAAACAAAUCCGGGUUACAAAUUAAAACUUAGGGAAACGCAUCAAAUAUAAGAGGAAAACUACGACACAGCAGAAAUACAACAUUAAAAUGUAACAAACACAGAAACGAACUAUUAUAUAAGGCAGCAACCAUUUGAUUUUCGGGGGG